rnacentral:lncRNA from 1 species
AUCAACACUACAUUUUCUUUGAUGGGUCUGUCUUUGUCAUAUAUUAUUCGAGGAAUAUUAGCAUCCCUUCCUUCCUGAUAUAAUGGCUCUUCUUUAACCUAAUCAUUUCUAAUUCUUUCCAUUUCUCGCAAUUCUUUUCUCUUUCUUCUUAAUGUUCUCUCAAUAUUUGGAUCAAAAUAAUACUCUUCAAUUGCUGAAAUAUCUCUACUCAUG